rnacentral:rRNA from 1 species
AGUGAACGCUGGCGGUAGGCCUAACACAUGCAAGUCGAACGGCAGCACAGUAAGAGCUUGCUCUUACGGGUGGCGAGUGGCGGACGGGUGAGGUAUACAUCGGAAUCUACUUUUUCGUGGGGGAUAACGUAGGGAAACUUACGCUAAUAUCGCAUAUGCCCUACGGGUGAAAGCAGGGGAUAUUCGGACCUUGCGCGAAUGAAUGAGCCGAUGUCGGAUUAGCUAGUUGGCGGGGUAAAGGCCCACCAAGGCGACGAUCCGCAGCUGGUCUGAGAGGAUGGUCGGCCACACUGGAACUGAGACACGGUCCAGACUCCUACGGGAGGCAGCAGUGGGGAAUAUUGGACAAUGGGCGCAAGCCUGGUCCAGCCAUACCGCGUGGGUGAAGAAGGCCUUCGGGUUGUAAAGCCCUUUUGUUGGGAAAGAAAAGCAGCAGGUUAAUACCCCGCUGUUCUGACGGUACCCAAUGAAUAAGCACCGGCUAACUUCGUG